CAGCGGCCGUCACUGUCGCUGUCGCAGAGGAGGGACGAGGGAGCGACCGAGGGGGGUUCCGUCCGGUCGUGCUCGCGUCCGGUCCGCUCCGGGGAGAAAGGCGGAGCUGCGAGGGAGGCCCUCGCCGGCCGGCAUGCAGAACGCCGUGCUGGCGUGCCCCGCGCCGUCCGGCGGAGGGGCGGGAGGAGACGGCGGGGUCGGGGGCGGGGGCGCGGGCGUCGUGAUGGUGAAGCGCGCGGCCCUGGUGGCGUGCCUGACCUGCCCCCUCUGCCGCCGCCUGCUCCGCGACGCCGCCACCAUCACCGAGUGCCUCCACACCUUUUGCAGAAAGUGCAUAUCUAAGGAGUUCAUCGAUAAGGAGAUCUGCUACUGCCCUACUUGCAACAUUGAUUUAGGCUGUGCUCCAGAGGAGAAACUCAGAGUUGAUCACAGCCUACAAUAUGUGAGGUCAAAGAUAUUUCCUUCUAAAAGACGGAAGGUUGUGGACCAAGAAGCCAUAUCACCGGUCGAAUCACCUGUCAAGAGAAAAGAACGAUCUCUAUCUUCACUGACAGUCCAUGGUCCUCGGGUGUCUAUACAGAAAUGCCUUACAAAGAGGAGAACAAAAGCUUCGUGCUUACGCAGCUUGUCUUUGGGCAGUAAAGAUGCAACAAAGAAAGUUGGAGGAUGGAAACCUUUGGCCUCUCAUAUUAGAGUUGGUAAAAGUAAAAAAUCUCUCAAAUCAGGUUCCGAAGAGGACAAUAGAACUGGAAUCAUGUCUGGUGAUCCAGAGCAUGGUGCUCCUUCCAAUGAAGCAAAGGCUAGCCUCUUGAAACGCUUGUUGGAGUCUAAGGAAUACCCGACAAGAAAGGAGAAUCUAGUGAAGAAGACUGGAAGCAAGAAAGUGUUCCCUCUGAAGGGGAAAAAGAAAAUAUUCAAGGCAAAACAACCUAGGAAAAAGAGAAGACUGCGAGCAUUAUGGUUCUAUCUAGUGGCUGCUUUUGACCAGAAGGGACAACCUCCUUUACCACAGCUACCUACAAAUUUUUUGAGGAUCAAGGAUGUUGAAUUGCCUGCUUCCUUCAUACAAAAGUACCUUGUGCAGAAACUCAAUCUUUCAAGUGAAGCUGAGGUGGAGUUGAUGUGCGCUGGCAAGAAAGUGGACCCAGCAAUCACCCUGCAUGACAUAACGGACUGCUAUCUGGACAAAGGACCGAACGGUUGGGUGCGGUCGUCCGUGGGCUCCCCUGCCACCGGGUUCAUCACGACGGUGUUCUACAGCAGGCCGGAGCUGCCCACACCCCCAACACCACCGCCACCACCUGAAAGUCACCAUGGCUUAUCCAGAGCGCAGCCUCAUGCCUGAACCAGUUCGGCCUCACUCCAGUCGUCUAUUUCGGAGCCCUCUGGUUGGUGCCACAUUGAUGCCAACCUCGUGAGGCUCAGCUCGGCUCACCUCACCUUGUGAUAUGUAGAUAGAUGCUCGGUUCACAUGCCUUGCGGGGAUUCUGAUCCGAUCUGUUGUUCUUUACCAUUUUUCUUCACCUGACGGAGUAGCUGUACCUAUGCGGUUUGUAAUCCUGUGUUGAGUUGUUGAGUGCUGCUGUAACUGGACUUGAAGCCUUUAUGGUGUGCCUCUGUAAUGUUUGUAGCACUAUUUUUACUGUAAGCUCUUGUACAAGUUGUCGUCGAACCGGAAAUUUGGUUAGUUAUAUAUGGAGUAGCGUGUGGAGUACUGAUAUUGAUUGAUGGAUACUGUCUUGCAAGUUCCAAGUAAUUUCUGUGGCCUUGUAGCUCCAAAUGGCCAAUUUGGUUGGCUGAUGUUUUUUUAAUGCC
rnacentral:rRNA from 1 species